rnacentral:rRNA from 1 species
GAUGAACGCUAGCGGCAGGCUUAAUACAUGCAAGUCGAGGGGCAGCGCAGUGUAGCAAUACAUGGGCGGCGACCGGCAAACGGGUGCGGAACACGUACGCAAUCUACCCAAAACUGAUGAAUAGCCCUCCGAAAGGAGGAUUAAUACAUCGUAACUUAAUGAAGUGGCAUCACUUUAUUAAUAUAGCUCCGGCGGUUUUGGAUGAGCGUGCGCCUGAUUAGGUAGUUGGCGGGGUAACGGCCCACCAAGCCAGCGAUCAGUAACUGGUGUGAGAGCACGACCAGUCACACGGGCACUGAGACACGGGCCCGACUCCUACGGGAGGCAGCAGUAAGGAAUAUUGGUCAAUGGACGCAAGUCUGAACCAGCCAUGCCGCGUGAAGGAUGAAGGUCCUCUGGAUUGUAAACUUCUUUUAUCUGGGACGAAACCUCUUAUUCUUAAGAGACUGACGGUACCAGAGGAAU